GGGUUGUGAGGUUAAGCGACUAAGCGUACACGGUGGAUGCCCUGGCAGUCAGAGGCGAUGAAGGACGUGCUAAUCUGCGAUAAGCGCCGGUAAGGUGAUAUGAACCGUUAUAACCGGCGAUUUCCGAAUGGGGAAACCCAGUGUGACUCGUCACACUAUCAUUAACUGAAUCCAUAGGUUAAUGAGGCGAACCGGGGGAACUGAAACAUCUAAGUACCCCGAGGAAAAGAAAUCAACCGAGAUUCCCCCAGUAGCGGCGCGCGAACGGGGAGGAGACCAGAGCCUGAAUCAGCAUAUGUGUUAGUGGAAGCGUCUGGAAAGGCGCGCGAUAAAGGGUGACA
rnacentral:rRNA from 1 species